rnacentral:rRNA from 1 species
UACGAAGGGGGCUCGCGUUGUUCGGAAUUACUGGGCGUAAAGCGCGUGUAGGCGGGCCGUUAAGUCGGGGGUGAAAGCCCAGAGCUCAACUCUGGAAUUGCCUUCGAUACUGGCGGCCUGGAGCAUGAUAGAGGCGAGUGGAAUUGCGAGUGUAGAGGUGAAAUUCGUAGAGAUUCGCUGGAACACCAGUGGCGAAGGCGACUCGCUGGAUCAUUGCUGACGCUGAGACGCGAAAGCGUGGGGAGCAAACAGG